rnacentral:lncRNA from 1 species
GCCCUGAAAUUUUUAGAUGAAUCGGACAACCCGUUGUUGGGUUGCUGCCCCUGAAUCGGUAAAUUUAAGAAAAUUUUGCUGUUUUUUGUUAUUAUCUUGAAUAUUAUUAUAGAUAGAGAUAAACUGCAAACAGCAAUAAUGUUCAGCAAAGUAAGAUUUACAAAUAAGUCAACAUGACCAAAAUGGUCAAUUGACCCCCUAAGGAGUAAUUGUCCUUUACAGUCAAUUUUUAACAAUUUUCAUAAAAUUUGUAAAUUUUAUUAACAUUUUCCGCUGAAACUACUGGGCCAAGUUCAUUGUAGAUAGAGAUAUUGUAAGCAACAAGACUGUUUAGUAAAGUAAGAUGCACAAGCAACAAACACAUCACUAUCACCAAAGCACAAUUUUGUCAUGAAUUCAUCUGCUUCCUUUGUUUAAUAUUCACAUAUACCAAGGUGAGCGACACAGGCUCUUUACAGCCUCUAGUUAUGUUUAUAUUUACAUUCUACAACGGUACGUACCUGUUUUCAUAAUGAUUACUUAAAGAUGCCCAUUAAACAAAAUUCUAUUUAUCAUUAGUAAGGAGGUAAUUUUUUCACUAUAAAAUUAUAUGUAUAUAUAAAUGUAUGAAACAUAAACAAAUUCUAAGUCGGAAUGCUUUACAAAGAUCUUAUUUUAAUACUUCAAAAACAAACAUACUGAAAUUGAAACAAAACAAAAACGAGAUUUUGUCUCCUAUCAGGUUAUAAUUUUUUUCUAUUUAUAAAAUAUAAAUCAAUGUACAUUUCAAUCCCACCUAUUUCUGCGUUGAUAAACGGUUAAGGAUUAAUGUAGCUGAAGGACAAAAUAACUACAAUUCGUUUGCAUAUAUCAAACUAAAAUGAUAAUUGCAGAUGCUUAAAUUCGCUGGAAUAGACAGUUCAAAAUGCUGACAAAGGUUAUUGUCGAAUUAUUUUAAAUAUAAUACAAAUCAUAUUGCUGAUUUUAGUUUGGUUUUUUUUUAUUCCCCUAGGGAAAAUAUGAUGGGAUAUAUUACAAACGUAGAGGUUAUUGUUCAUGGUCCAACGUGUUACUUGGCAAUGUAUGUAACAGUCUUUCUAAUUGUAUAGGUUUUGAGUUUUCUCAGAAUUUUCAUUAUUAUUAUCCAGUGGGUAACGAGGAGAUUCUGCAUUACUUUUUUAAUUGUCCGAAUAGUGUUUGCACAUCAUCAAAUGGUAUAGUUUGCUAGGAUGGUCGUCGUUUUCCAAUAUUACUGUUUGUAGCCAAGUAUACUAUGACAUUGUGUACAUAAUUUAUUUCAUCUACACCAUUGUCAUACUUCUGUAUGUCUGUCGUGUUUCUUUUAUGGAUUAUAUACAAUUGCCAAAGAAAUGGUAAUUUAUGUCGUUCAGUUUUUAUAAUCCGUC